CUGGAUUGCAGUGGAAUAGAAUAACAAAGAAACCCAGUUCAUUCCUCAACUGAGCACUGGUCUACAAAAGCAACAAAGAAAAGGUAAAGUUUUAUCUUCAUAAAUCUAAAAUAUCACCAGGAACUAAAGCUGAGCAUCCACUCACAGAUGCUUAAAUUGUUGUAGGAGCACCAAUACCUAAUUCAUUAAAGUCAGAGGAAACUUAAAAGAAUAGAUGCUUGUUUUUCUCCCAGUAUUGCCCUGAUGAAAAACGGUGCCCCAAAUAGCUUAAAAACGACUUUAAGAUACUAAGUGAAGAUUUUCUUCCUGCAGUACUUAUUUCUUUAACCUGUGCAUUUAUAUUUGGCAGGUUUAAUAGCAUCACUUAGUGACUACAGAAAAUAUCUUGGCUUUGACUGUUAGAAAGUUAGCUGUUCACAGAAAUGUUUAGAGUUGGCAAUCUCAAGUAGAUAAGAUAAAUUCUUCCAAGGAGAUUACACCUUGCUGUAAUUAUGUACAUAAUACACCUAGGUAUGGGUUUCCUCAAACAUGGUACUAUAUUCACAAAGGUCAAAGGCAUCAGGACUGCACUCCCUCUGAGCCCACCCACCAUGAGGCCAGCACAAGCCACAUGAACUGCAGCCACAUUCCAUGGGUCUAUCGGCAAUGACCUCCAACUCAUCUACUCUGUAUUUCAGCUACAGAGAGUUCAGCAUGUCUCCCUGAUCUGUCAAGGGGUAGGCGGCCCAGAUAACUGGAUAUUUAUAUUCUUCUUGUCAGUGAUAUCAAAGACUGUAAGUAGAAUUAUCAACUACUAAGCCCAUUUCUAAACUGUUUGAAUGUUCUGUGACUUCUUUAGAGACACGUUAACCUUUACUCUUAUUCUUCAUUUUUCUCUUUUUAGUUUUGAAUGCCUUAUCAGACAGCUCAGCUCCUCCACCCCAGAAGGAACAGGGCUGGGGUGAGGUCAGGGAUUCACAUUUCAACCAUGUGCAAGAUACUCCUAAGUGUUUAAAUGUGUUUUCAUUUAUUCUUCCUAACAAGAAGGUAGGCAUUACCCCCAUUUUACUGAUGAGGGAACUAAGGCUCAGAGGAGUUAAGUGAUUUACCCGCCACCACCUAGAAAGGACCUGGCAGAGACGGUCCUGGAGUUUAGGUCUCCCUGAUUUCAAGGGUCUGCCCUUUUUAUGGUCCCUCGUUGGCUCCCCAAUUACUGUAACUAUUAGUUGCCAAAAAAGUUAGAGGAGGACUUUAGGAUAGGUUCAUAGUCUCUGUGCUUCAGUUCUUAAUACUGUGGCUUCAUUAUUUUAUUUGAACUGCAUAUCCAGGGCAUCACACAUCUAUACUCAAUUCUAAAUAUAAAAAUGCACUAUUAAAUUUAACUGGUAUAUUUUUUCAUCAAUGCAAAUAAUGAAAAGGGGCCUUUAUCUGGAAUAUACCCAACAGGCAUGCAACCUUAUAUGUAAGGUUAUCUCUCCCCUCAAAUAUCACCCACUAAAUUUCCCAAAGGCAGGGAUGGGAUUAUAUUUUUUAUUUAUUUUGCAUAUGCCACAGCUCUUUGUACAUUCUGUGUUCUCCAGUAAUCUAUGUAUUUUUGAGAAAAAAUAUUUUCAUUUAUAAAGGAAGGUUAUAAGUCAGGAAAUGUUAACAGAUUUCCUUAGUACUACACAAUCAACACCAACAGACCUUGUGUGCUUAAAGGUCAGACACAGCUGGAAAGGUACUCCGCGUCCUGAAAGCUCCUGAUACCCAUCACUUACUCCAAUGGUUUUGAAGCCUCUAUCCUUCCUACCGCUCCGGCCUCUAUUUGCUACUAUUGCUCCAAAGUGCUUACUACCUAGCAGCUGGUCUUAUAAAGAUUUGCUGCAUGAAAUAUGACAAUUUCCAUAGAAGGAAAUAAUCUGAACUUAUUUGUAAUGGAACUUCACUUUUGACAAAUUCUUUUUCAGUACAAAUACAUUAAAACGUGGCAGGGAUAGCGAAC